CCAUAUGCUUUAAAAAAAACACACACACAACACAUCAUUUUGGCAUUGAUGUAAUUAUGAUAUUAAACUGUCACAUUACACUGAAGUUAGGACAAACCUUUUUUUUUUUUUUUUGUAGCUUUCUAGAAAAUGUGUAGGAAUGAUGGACCUGCAUUUUAAAACACUCGCAUCACCAGUAAGAAGAGUGUCAUGUUAAUCUCAAGUCAUUGACUGUAAGGAAGCACACAGGUGUUUGAUGUUACCACAUGUUAUGUUUUAAAGGCUGAAUUUGGAUUUAUCACCUGUGCUCCAUCACACACUACUGUAUAUGAUGUACUGAUUAGCCGGUGUUACAGCUAGUUUCCAUCCACUGCAAACAUUCAGCGCCAAUACACAUAGCUGUGUGUUCUAUGUGACUCUCGAUGGUUUUCAUAAUCAAUCAAAAUCGAUGCAGCAGAACCAGAGAUAUCUUUUUUUUUUUAUUAUUCCAUGUGUUACCCACAUAAACCUAAAAUUGUGUCCAGAGAUCCUAACCCCUACAUCUUUCUAACUCCACGCUAACAAAUUUGUGACUCACGUGACAUCACUUGAGGCAGUUCAUCAGACCUCACACAGCGCCCCCUGGAGACACAAACAGGCUAUAAACAAAUUUUUCCCCCCCCCAUAUUCACCACCUGGAAACAUACUUUUUCUUUAACAAAGUGUUUCAGUUGCCUAAUCAUAACCCCUCCUGUUGUCUUCAUAUUCUGUACCCUUAAAAAAAACAAUCAAUUGUCAACCUGAAAAUCAAUUUAGCAUAAACAACCUUCCAUUUAACUUGGAAUUAGUGUUUUUUCUUCUACACAGUACAGAGAGAUUAUUAUUCAGUGUAGGCGACACCUCUAGUUUUUACUACUAAACACCAUGUUUGCUGUCAUUGAUGUGUAAUGUUAUGAUCGCUUUAGAAACGUAGUAACUUUCUGAAACUCUUAUUUUAGGAAACCUGAGCACCCUUGCUGUGUCUCAAACCACAUACUUCUGUAUAGUACUUUAGCAGUGUGCAAAUUUUGACAGGUUAGUGUUGUCUCAAAUCAAACAGAGCCAUCGCACACUUAUCGAAAAAGACAAUUAGCUAGCGUUGCUAAUUUUAUUUUGCUGUACCAAACCAUUACAGAAUGCCUAAUUAACCCAAUAAACCUACUUAUGGCUUAUGUGACAACAGUAUAUUGGUGCUUAGUGCAAAAAACACAUGUAUAAUUGACAUUAUUAUAAAGCAGCGAUGUUCACCGUAGUUACAACGUCCUCAUUCACCAUUUCUUGUUUGAAAAGUGGUCCCCAGCUUUUUCCGCUAUGUAGCCAAGACGGCGUCCGUUGAGGGCGAGAAGUGUCCGUAGUUACACACUACAACUUUUUGACCGUUUUGAGUGCACCAUAGUGCACUGCAUUUUAACAUCCUUUCAGUGUGAACACACUUAUGCACUCAAAAUAUUAAGUGUAUGUACAGAAGUACACGAUUUGAGACACAGCAGCAGUCUUUUUUAUUUUCUUUCAUUAAUACGUUUUCCUGCACGAGCACUACAGACAUAUUUCUCACAUUGUGUUUGAUUUCACAGUCCCUCUUUGGGGUCAGAAUUGGUUUUUCCUAUCACCCACCAUGUCUGCAGUCUCAGGUGGAUUCAGUUCCCCCUCACUUUGUGUUGCUCACCGUUUAGCAAAAGGAGAAAUAUUUGUACCUGAAUCCACUGCAAGAGAUGAUUAUAUUAUUUUGUUUUUUUUUGUUUCUAAUUUUGUGUGAAACAAAGUCGGCCGUGGUCAAGUUUUGUUUUUUAAAACACAUACAUUCUCUUUUUCUUACUCUGUUUCUUUAAAGCUGUUAUAACUUAUGUAUUAAUAAUUCUUUUCAUCUGUAAAAGAUUUAUUUAAAUGUCAAAAGAGACUAAAAGACAGUCUUCACAUGUAAAAGGACAAACGACCAGUAAUAGCCAUGAACUUGCAUUCUGGGGGG